rnacentral:misc_RNA from 1 species
GCGAUAAGUAAUGUGAAUUGCAGAAUUCAGUGAAUCAUCGAAUCUUUGAACGCACAUUGCGCCCGCCAGUAUUCUGGCGGGCAUGCCUGUCCGAGCGUCAUUUCAACCAUCAAGCCCCCGGGCUUGUGUUGGGGACCUGCGGCUGCCCGCAGGCCCUGAAAACCAGUGGCGGGCUCGCUGUCACACCGAGCGUAGUAGCAAUCACCUCGCUCAGGGCGUGCUGCGGGUUCCGGCCGUUAAACAGCCUUACAAAACCCAAGGUUGACCUCGGAUCAGGUAGGAAGACCCGCUGAACUUAAGC